UAAAACAAGUUAAAUGUGAAUGUUGGUUUAACCUGCUAACUUGAAAAGGGACUUUCUAAAUGCUAAAAGGGAUAUCCUGCUGUGGUGCGAAGUAAUUAUUUAAGUUAAGAAAGUGCUUGUAUGAUACAAGGUGAUAUCAUUGCAAAGCUUAUCUUAAAUUAAUUGCUUGUUUUGGUUUUGGCAAUUUAAAAGAGCACAUCAAGGUAUUUAAAAGGCACAUUUAUAAUACAUUUUUGAUAUUGAAAUGUAUGUGUGUUUUAUAACAAGUGGAAGAAGAUAAACUUUAACUAAAAAUACUGUCAUAAUACACAAACUUUAUUUUUUAAAGAAAAAGCAAACCUAAACAUAUCUAAGUUGACAGUUAGCCUACAUUUAAAUUUUUAUUCAACUACAGUUAAUACAUUUUCAUCCAAACUUUCAAGUUGGCUAAUAUUCAAACCAAAUCAAGCUAAAACACAAAAUCAAUAGGCUAGCAACAUGUCUGACCAAGAACGAAUGGACACUCGACACGCUGUGGUGUUGCUGCAAGAAGAUCCUGGAGAAGUUGUGAUCCCAAAUCCCCAUGAGCCGAGCACAAGUCAAGCAGUGAAAGAAGAGGGCUUAAGGAAAAGUACAAGACCCAGAAAGCUCACUGAGAAAGGCCAAGCGUUUCAUGAGGAAAUGGUGAGCAAGCUUCAAGCUCGAUUCAACGCCAGUUAUGAAAAAUGGAAAUCUACUGCCAAACAAGCAAAAAGAGCACUUGACGCAUCUGAUAUAGCAAGCUUGCGCGAUCACAUUGCUCGUAUACAAGAAACUUCUGGUGAAGUCAUGCAAGCAUAUGAAGAACUACGUAGUCAUGAAACUCCUGAUGGAAACACUCACCGCAGAGUUGACACAUGUGAUGCAGUUUCUCAGAAGGUUUUCCAACAAGCACAAGAGAAUCUUGCAGCAGAAGAAGAUGAGCGAGAUCAAGACAAGAGGUCAUUUCACUGGAGUGAAACUCGCUCAGCGUUUAUUUUAGCAUCGUUGCAAAGAUCCAAAAACUCAAGUAGUCGACGUUCAAGUCAGCUGUCUGCAAAAAGGCAAGACGCAGCAGCAGAAGUAGCUGCAGCUGAAGCCACUCUGUUGGUCUUAGAAGAAAUGGAACGUGGCAAAAGUGAACUCGAAAUGCUUGAGAAAGAAAUGGAACGAAAGAAGAGGGAGCUUGAACGCUUGGAAACGGUAAAGCAAAUGAAUGCUGCAAAAGCGCGACUGGAAGUGUAUGAACAAGAAGGCAACUCAGAUGAGGAAUUGUCAGAUCUUCUGCAUGGAAGGAGCACACCAAAAAAUCUACCAUCCAAGCCUAUAAGACAUUCUGAAGUGAAAAUUGAAUAUUCAGGUUGCAAUCCAUAUGCACAACCAUUCAUACCAAAAGACACCACAAGAGGGCAACCUGCUAGCAAUAAAACACCAGAAGAUGGCAUAACAGCACUGGCUACAUCAACAUUUGCCGUCUACCGGUUCCAGAGCCCGCAGUUUUCAAUGGAGAUCCCAUCAAGUACAAGGAUUGGAAAAUGUCUUUUCAAUUACUGAUUGAAAGAAAGACCAUCCCAGUGGCUGAAAAGAUCUACUACCUCCGAAAGUAUGUUGGCGGUCCUGCGAGAAAGGCAGUUGAAAGCUACUUUCUGCUCGGAACAGAAAUGGCAUACCGUACAGCUUGGAACACUCUGGAAGAAAGAUAUGGUAGUCCAUUUGUAAUCGCCAAAGCUUUCAGAGAUAAUCUCUCAGCAUGGCCAAGAAUUGGAACCAAGGAUAAUGUGGAACUAAGAGAGUUCUCAGACUUUCUCAAAGGUUGCGAAGUGGCAAUGCUACAGAUAAAGAGUCUUCAAAUUUUAAAUGACUGCUAUGAGAACCAGAGAAUGCUCAGCAAGCUUCCUGAUUGGCUUACGGCAAGAUGGAAUCGUAAAGUAGUUGAGAUUGAAGAUCAGUGUGGUUCAUUUCCUACAUUCAGCCAUUUUGUCAACUUUGUAGAAAAGGAAGCCAGGAUCGCGUGCAACCCAGUGACAUCUCUAAGUGCUCUCAAGGCAAACGAUUCAGAGAAAGAGAAAGCGAAAACUCCAAUGACUCGGAAUGUUGGAGCAAGGACAUUGAUAAGCAGUACGGAGGAGAAAACCGAUACACUGAAGUGUGAAUUCUGUGAAAGGUCAAAUCACAACAUUCUGACAUGUCGAAAGUUCAUGGAGAAGGAGAACGCUGCAAAGGUGCAAUUUGUAAAAGACAAGGGAUUGUGUUUUGGUUGUCUUAAAUCUGGACACAUCUCAAAGAAAUGCGAAAAGAGAAGUACCUGCAACACAUGUAAGGGGAAACACCCAACAUGCUUACAUGAAGAACGAGACAAAGAGUCAAGAAAGAAUAAGGACAUCCAAAGAGAAACAAAGGGGACAAGUGAGUCAAAGGAAACCAAACAAACUAAGGAACCAAGUCAAGAAACACCAAAUGAGGCUAUCUCAAACCGUGUUAUCCAAAGUGACAAUAUGACCUCACAUCCACAAUUGUUCCAGUGUGGUUGUCCACAAAAAGUAAUCCAGAAAAAGAACUAUUGCUUUACGUUCUUUUAGACAGUCAGAGUGACACAACAUUUGUUCUGCAAGAAAAGGCAGAUGUUUUGGACACAGACAAGAAAGAUGUGCAGUUAAAGCUCUCCACACUGUCAUCCAAAGACACAGUCGUUUCUAGUCAAAAGCUGACAGAUCUACAAGUCAGAGGCUUCUACUCGUCAAAGAGAAUCCCUCUUCCCAUGACAUAUACAAGAGAGUUUAUCCCUGCCAAUCUACGUCACAUUCCCACUCCGAACGCAGCAAGAGCAUGGUCUCACUUAGAGCACCUCGCUGAUGAGAUCGCCCCUCUAAUUGAAUGCGAUGUUGGUCUGCUAAUAGGGUACAACUGUUCACAAGCUCUGGUACCCAGAGAAGUCGUGUCAGGAAGAGACAAUGAGCCCUUUGCUCAGAAAACAGAUCUUGGCUGGACCAUAGUUGGAGGACUUGAUCCAUGUGUUGACUAUGGAGAUGCAAUUGGAUGCAGCCACAGGAUUGUUGUCAAGGAAGUGACACCCAAUUCACCAUCUGAUCAGUUGUUGAAGGAAGUGCACUACAUUUGUCGCACCCAAGUCAAAGAAGUGAUUACACCAUUGGAUGUGAUUAAAGUGCUUGAGUCUGAUUUCAACGAAAGAAAAGUGGAAGACUCUCAUUUCUCCCAAGAAGACUUGCGGUUCAUUUCAAUAAUGGAAAGAGGAGUGAAAAUGCAAGAAGAUGGUCAUUGUGAACUACCUUUGCCUUUCAAACAAGACAGAACAAACUUACAGAACAACAAGAAAUGUGCAGAACAUCGACUCAAGUGUUUGAAGAAAAGAUUUGAAAGAGACAAACAGUAUCACAAAGACUACAUGAAGUUCAUGAAUGAAACAAUAGAGCGCGGAGGUGCAGAAAAGGUGCCUCCUGAAGAACUGGACAAAGGUCCUGCCUGGUACAUUCCACAUCAUGGGGUGUACGAUCCCCAAAAGCCCGGAAAAAUAAGAGUGGUCUUCGAUUGUUCGGUGAAGUAUGAAGGAGUCUUGUUGAAUGAUUACUUUUUGACCGGACCAGAAUUGACCAACAAGCUGGUGGGGGUCUUGUGCAAAUUUCGGAAUGGCCCAGGAGCAAUCCAUUGCUCUAUUGUAUUCGCGAAGUCCAGAGUAGCAUCUACCAAAGUCACUGCAGUGCGUACAAGUGACAUGCUCAAUGCAGAGUUGGAGCUGAAUGUUGAAGAAUUCUUCUGGACAGAUUCACAAGUAGUCUUGGGAUAUGUCAACAAUGAGGCAAGACGCUUUCAUGUGUUCGUAGCGAACCGCAUCCAAUGUAUCAGAGAGAGUACCAAACCCACACAGUGGAAAUAUGUUGCAUCAGAGGACAAUCCUGCAGACCAUGCGUCGCGUGGACUCAAGGCCAAAGAACUAAUCGCCUCAAACUGGUUCAGUGGGCCAAGUCUUCUAUGGCAAGAAGAGCUACCCAGUGGAGAGUGCAAGGUGGGAGAACUUGACGCAAGAGACUCAGAAGUACGCAAAGCUGUCGUACACCGCACACUCAAGGUGGUUUCUCUGGAAGAACGUUUUGAGAAGUUCUUCAGCUGGUCGAGAUUUGUCAAAGCUAUUGCAAGGCUCACCAGAUUUGUGAAGGAAGACCUAUACCUACGCAAGAGAUGGCGUAGAGUGCAAUAUCUCGCCAAUGAGUUCUGGCGAAGAUGGAGAAAGGAAUACUUGUUGAACCUACAGCAAAGACAGAAAUGCCAGAAGACAAGAAGGAAUGCCAAAGUCAAUGAUAAAGUGCUCAUACAAGAUGACACAGCACCCAGAAACGAUUGGAAACUCGCUAAGGUCACUGCAGUGUAUCCAAGUGAAGAUGGAUGUGUGCGCAAAGUGCAGCUUCUAAUCAGUGACUCUACAUUAGAUGACCAUGGCACACGACUCAACAAGAAGACACACUUGGACAGACCUAUCCACAAGACAGUUACACUGUUAGAAGCAGAAUAGACCCACACUAGUCUGAAAAGGGAAAACACAUUAGAUUUGGUGGGAGUGUAGCUGCUGACAGAAGCACAUUGUAUAUAUGUUAUAUAAUUUCAUAGUUGGUUAAAGUAAAUAAAUACAAUGUAUAAAUAUAAGUUCAUAUUUACAUUUAAUGUGAUUAAAAAUGUAUUUUCUUUGGUAAUUUCAUGCAAGUAUAAGUUAACUUUAUUUUUGUUACAAAACUCAUGUAAAUUGGAGAGGAACAUAUUUUUUGUUCCGGUUUGGUCACAUUGUUGGGGGGACAAUUAAUAUGUGACGGAAAAAAGGGAAGCAGCAUGAGACAGCAAAUGGAAGAGAUUAAUGGAGUCUCGGCUUGGAAAGAAACUUUAUUCCCUCUGAGUUUGUGAGGCCAAUGAGGUAUGAUUCUUUUUGAUAUGUAUGUGAAAUCAAUGUGUUUUAUGUUAUUGGAUGUCAGACUAAUUGUAAGUUCUGUUUUUUCUUAUUUAUUAGUUCUGACGGCAUUAUUUUGGCAUUGUGUUGGCAUCGUUGUGACGAGGAGAAGGCGUGGCUGAAAAUAAAUGUCUGUUUGAGAAAAACGAACAACUUGAGCCUUGAUUAAGACCUCGGAGGGAGUAACAAUCGGAACUCCAAAAAGGAACUGAACGACAUUCGCUUUGAAUUCACUCCAGGACGAGACACUGCUGAUGGUGUUUCCCAAGAAUUAUUCUCCGCCGGUCUUGUCCACGGACUUGAUGUUGGAACUGUGGCUGCUAACCUUCA